GACGAACGCUGGCGGCGUGCUUAACACAUGCAAGUCGAACGGAAAGGCCCUGCUUUUGUGGGGUGCUCGAGUUGCGAACGGGUGAGUAACACGUGAGUAACCUGCCCUUGACUUUGGGAUAACUUCAGGAAACUGGGGCUAAUACCGGCUAGGAGCUCCUGCUGCAUGGUGGGGGUUGGAAAGUUUCGGCGGUUGGGGAUGGACUCGCGGCUUAUCAGCUUGUUGGUGGGGUAGUGGCUUACCAAGGCUUUGACGGGUAGCCGGCCUGAGAGGGUGACCGGACACAUUGGGACUGAGAUAAGGCCCAGACUCCUACGGGAGGCAGCAGUGGGGAAGAGUGCACAAUGGGCGGAAGGAAGAUGCAGCAAAGCAGCGUGGGGGAUGACGGCCUGCGGGUUGUAAUCCGAUGUCGCCUGUGACGAAGCGUGAGUGACGGUAAUGGGUAAAGAAGCACCGGCUAACUACGUG
rnacentral:rRNA from 1 species